GUGGGCGGGGAGGGGGCGAUCUGAAAGCAUCGGCGCAGGAAGCAUACUGAUGAUUCAAACGGAUGCACGGGAAAAGCAGGAGUAUAAAUAGUGUAUGUCGUGGACAGAGUGGAACAUAGCAACGAGCACGUUAUAAUCCAUGGCACACGCGUGACAUGCAUGCAUGGACAAAAUGCAUUGAUGGAGAAUGGACAAAGGAAUACAUUUCCAUUACAAAGGAAUGUUGUGGUGUGAAUCUGGGCAUGCGCGGUCUUGAGUCUCUGAAAACGUUUAUCUACAAGACGGCCACAGCUGUCGAUCAGAACGACGUUCUAGAAGCGCUGGCCGCUAAAAUCAAACACUCCCGGCAAGUAUCAGAGACCUUCAAGCAGACGGGCCUGUUAGAGUCCAUGUACGAGUAGGCCUCGAAGCUUGUGAAGAACCAAUAUCGCCACCUUGUGGUGAGAUGAGUGCUACUGCACUACAAUGUUGAUAAAAUGUCUUUACCAGUGCUGUGAUGAGUCUUAUGUUUACUGAAUCGAAAUAUGGGUAAAAAAUAUUAUUAUUAUACAGCAUAACAUACAACCAAUGGACUGCAAUUAUGUGGCGCUCUCCUAAAAUGGCCACUCAUAGCGCUUUACAAUUAUUGCGUAAUAUUCACCCAUUCAUACACACAUUUACGGUUUCACCAAAGGAAAGCUCGUCGGGAGCAGUCGGGGUGAGGCGUCUUGCUCAGGGACACCCCGACACUCAAGUCAAGUCAACCCGCUGGAACUCUUGAGCUACUGCCGCCCAACCGGGUUAGUUAAGAGACAUUAACCAACAGUUCAUCACAACUAAAAAUAUUUUCGUAAAAGAAUGUCAAGAUUAGCAGCCUUUUUCUUUUUUUGAUCCCAAUAGCAGCAAUUGUAAUUUUUUUAUUUAUUUUUUUAUUCAUUGUUCAACUAUGUUGGGGAACCUUUGUAUAGUCACUGUUUAUACACUGUCUUGAUGUUGCUCCGCUUAAAUAAACUGUCAUUGUGCUAUGCUUUUCUUAGUCACAGAUUAGAAAAAUGCAGUUUCAGGUGUUGAUGUAAUAAUUACACACUGGCCAGACAUUUAUUUGGGUUAGGAUUAGGUUAGAUAAAAUGUUCAGCAGAUCUAAAGGUGUUUUCAUUGCAGGUGUGCACCAGUUGGUGCUAUAUAAAUGGUACCUAGUUCCUAUAUAGGUCCUAUAUAUGGGACCAGAUAAUAUAUAUCUAAGUUGCAUUUAUGAGUCCUUAUAAUGGCUGGGGUCAGAGGUUAAAGUGCCACAAAAUAACUUGUCAGUGCCAGUCAUCC
ensembl:lncRNA